AUUAUAUAUUUUUUUAAAUUGUUUUCGUUUUGAUAAUGGAUCGAAAUUUUAUGCAUUCUGUAGAACGACGUAGGCGAAUGUUCGUACGCAUUAUCCGCCGUGGGGAGAGAGUUAACGUCAUUGAUGCUCCGUUUUACUACCGUGAUUUAGUACAUCUUAAUUUCCGACGUGAAUCCAAUCUGCGAAGUAUAUAGACAAUCACAGCAAGAGGUUUGGUAUCUAACAACAUAUCUUUGGGUAUUGACCACACUCCUUAACCACUAAUUCAGUUAUUCGAUUGUACUAAUCUAAUAAAUUAUUUUUGGAUAUCGAGUAGAUUGUUCAACCAAUAAUACGGUUACUUAAUUGCAGCUAUCUAACAACAUAUCUUUGGACAUCGAGUACACUGUUCAACCAAUAAUACGGUUACGCAAUUGCAGAUAUCUAAGAAGUCUUUGAAUAUUGAGUGCAUUGUUCAACCUUUAUUUCGGUUAUUCGAUUGCAGAUAUCUAACAACAGAUCUUUGCAUAUCGAGUAUAGUGUUCAUCCACUAAUCUGGUUAUUCGAUUGCAGGUAUCUAACAAUAUAUCUAUGGAUAUUGAGCAUACUGUCUAACCAAUAAUCCGGUUACUCAAUUGCAGGUAUCCAACAACGUGUUUGAACAUGGUUUGCAUAUUGAGUACACUGUUCAACCAUUGAUCCGGUUAUAGGAUUGCAACAAUCUAACAACAUGUUUUUGGAUAUCGAGUACACUGUUCAAACAUUAAUAUCAUACAAAGCAACUAGUGCCAGACAGAAAAAUGUUCGGAGCGUAAGGAAUAGAAGAUAGGAUAGAAGAGACAGCAUAGUAGAGAAGAUUUGGAGUUUUCAUUUCAAAAUCAGAAAAUGUAAAAUUAUUUGGAUCUAAUAAAAUUAAACUAAUCGUUAA